rnacentral:rRNA from 1 species
ACUGCGGAAGGAUCAUUGUCGA